rnacentral:lncRNA from 1 species
UGGGGGCCAUGUUCACCAUGAUGUCAUAAACAACCUCAAAAUUCUAAGUUGUCCUGACAGCCUCCAUGCACACAGAGUUUCAGAGCCAUCUCAGACCAGUCUGACUCCUCCCCCUUUCCAGAAGUGCAUCGCUGAGCUCACAUCUGCUGGCAAUGCUCCUGUAUUUGCUGUGGAAGUCUGGCCCUGUCUAACGUCCCUGCCCAUCUGCCUCUACACUACCUCGGACGCCUGCUCCAGAAUGACUGAAGCAGUGGUGAGCAGGCUCACCCCCAGGAUUCCACCCGGCCCACCCCAGGCCACAGACCCAGAAGAAGUGCAUCGCUGAGCUCACAUCUGCUGGCAAUGCUCCUGUAUUUGCUGUGGAAGUCUGGCCCUGUCUAACGUCCCUGCCCAUCUGCCUCUACACUACCUCGGACGCCUGCUCCAGAAUGACUGAAGCAGUGGUGAGCAGGCUCACCCCAGGAUUCCACCCGGCCCACCCCAGGCCACAGACCCAGAAGAAGUGCAUCGCUGAGCUCACAUCUGCUGGCAAUGCUCCUGUAUUUGCUGUGGAAGUCUGGCCCUGUCUAACGUCCCUGCCCAUCUGCCUCUACACUACCUCGGACGCCUGCUCCAGAAUGACUG